GUGAACGCUGGCGGUAGGCCUAACACAUGCCAGUCGAACGGCAGCACAGUAAGAGCUUGCUCUUACGGGUGGCGAGUGGUGGACGGGUGAGGAAUACAUCGGAAUCUACUUUUUCGUGGGGGAUAACGUAGGGAAACUUACGCUAAUACCGCAUACGACCUACGGGUGAAAGCAGGGGAUCUUCGGACCUUGCGCGAUUGAAUGAGCCGAUGUCGGAUUAGCUAGUUGGCGGGGUAAAGGCCCACCAAGGCGACGAUCCGUAGCUGGUCUGAGAGGAUGAUCAGCCACACUGGAACUGAGACACGGUCCAGACUCCUACGGGAGGCAGCAGUGGGGAAUAUUGGACAAUGGGCGCAAGCCUGAUCCAGCCAUACCGCGUGGGUGAAGAAGGCCUUCGGGUUGUAAAGCCCUUUUGUUGGGAAAGAAAAGCAGCAGGUUAAUACCCCGCUGUUCUGACGGUACCCAAAGAAUAAGCACCGGCUAACUUCGUG
rnacentral:rRNA from 1 species